rnacentral:rRNA from 1 species
GUAACACAGGUUUCCGUAGGAGGUGAACCUGCGGAAGGAUCAUU